GAGCUCAGUGUGGAAAUUGGGGCCUGUGGCCUUGAAUUGUAGUCUGGAGAUGUACUACCAACUGGGGCGCAGAUGUAAGCCUCUUGGAAAAGAGCAUCAAUGAGGGUGAGAGUCCCGCUUGGCAUCUGCAGUCCCCAGUGCACGGUGUACCUUCUAAGAGUCACGUUCCUCGGGAUUGGAGCGCAAAUUGGGUGGUAAAUUUCAUCUAAAGCUAAAUAUAGUUUCGAGACCGAUAGCAAACAAGUACCAUGAGGGAAAGAUGAAAAGGACUUUGAAAAGAGAGUUAAAAGUGCCUGAAAUUGCUGAAAGGGAAGCGAAUGGAACCAGUGUAACUUGGUGAGAUUGCUGUACGCAUUCGCGUGUCAAUGUGAUUGCUUGCUG
rnacentral:rRNA from 1 species